UACCAGCUCCCUGAGUGGUAAGGACGAUUAUUUGGCCUAAAGCGUCCGUAGCCGGCUUAUCAAGUCUCUUGUUAAACCCAAUGAUUCAAUCAUCGAUCUGCAAGAGAUACUGUUAUGCUAGAGGACGGGAGAGGUCGACGGUAGUCCAGGGGUAGGGGUGAAAUCCUAUAAUCCUUGGAGGACCACCAGUGGCGAAGGCGGUCGACUAGAACGUGCCUGACGGUGAGGGACGAAAGCUGGGGGAGCGAACCGGAUUAGAUACCCGGGUAGUCCCAGCUGUAAACGAUGCGGGCUAGGUGUUGGGGUAGCUACGAGCUACUCCAGUGCCGCAGAGAAGUUGUUAAGCCCGCCGCCUGGGGAGUACGGCCGCAAGGCUGAAACUUAAAGGAAUUGGCGGGGAGCACCACAAGGGGUGAAGGCUGCGGUUU
rnacentral:rRNA from 1 species